CGCAGAGGCAUCGGCGGCGGCGGCGGAGACGGAGAGAGGCAGGCAGGCAGGGCGAGGGCGAGAGACGGAGGGAGGGAGCGAGCGAGGCGGACCAGACAGACAGACAGGCGGGCGGGCGGGCAGAGCGAGCCACCCGCCAGGCUGCGCUCAGCCCCGCUCGCAGCGGAGAGAGCAGAAGGCAGGAGGAGGGAGGGGAGGAGGGGGAGGGAGGGAGAGAGGGAAUCCAGCUACCACCACCCAAAGCCAGCGUCUGCUUUCUGUCCUCAUUUCCUUUUCCCACCCAGCUUGGAGAGCAGAGAAAGGCAGAGAGAGCGAGAAAUAGAGACAGUCUGAGAGACAGACAGACAGCCAGAGAGAGCGGGAGGGAGGAGGGCGGAGGAGGAGGAGCAGGAGGACUACGCGGGGCGCGUUCCCUCCCAGGUUUGCAAUUGGGGGGGUGGGGGCGGGGGUGUCCAGGGCUGGGAGAGUGUGUGCGCGGCGGGAGGGCGAGGGGAGCGCAGAGAGCGAAGGAGUGAUCGAGGUGGGGGGGCGCCGCGGGAGCGGGGGGCCGUGUCCAGCGGAGUUAGCGGCGGAGAAUGUGAGCCGAGGCGCGAGCCAUGCUGUCAGCGACGGCGGGCGGCUCAGGGCUCUUCCACGACUCCUCUCCUCAGCAGCCGGGCGCCCGCGUCGCUGCCACCGCCGGAAGACAGACGCCCCCUAAAACCCCUCGCUUGGCUCGGACCCACGGAGCCGGCAGCCCAGCACUCCGAUGGGAGCUUGCCUGAUUGUCAAGCCAUCGGCCUGGACCCCAGAGCCUACCCAGCUGAGCAUGUGCAGAGGGCCCCGAGUGCGGGGCAACGCUCAGGCCAUUACAGAGACCACCCUGGAGAUGCUGAUGAAGACAGGCCUUUCCUGCUGAGCCGGGCCUGUCUGCACAGCCUGCUCAGAAAGGGGAACUGA
rnacentral:lncRNA from 1 species